CCGACGGCGGCGGCGACGUGCGGCCUCCCGUGUGGAAGCUUCUCUUGGGAUAUUUGCCAACUGAAAGAUCUUUAUGGCCUUAUGAAUUGGAAAAGAAGCGGAGCCAGUACAGUGCAUAUAAAGACGAGUUUCUUCUAAAUCCUUCAGAAAAACUACGUAGAAUAGAGGAAUCAAA